ACGGGAGGCAGCAGUGGGGAAUAUUGCACAAUGGGGGAAACCCUGAUGCAGCGACGCCGCGUGAGUGAAGAAGUAUUUCGGUAUGUAAAGCUCUAUCAGCAGGGAAGAAAAUGACGGUACCUGACUAAGAAGCCCCGGCUAACUACGUGCCAGCAGCCGCGGUAAUACGUAGGGGGCAAGCGUUAUCCGGAUUUACUGGGUGUAAAGGGAGCGUAGACGGCGAUGCAAGUCUGAUGUGAAAGCCCGGGGCUCAACCCCGGCACUGCAUUGGAAACUGUGUUGCUAGAGCGCAGGAGAGGUAAGUGGGAUUCCUAGUGUAGCGGUGAAAUGCGUAGAUAUUAGGAGGAGCACCAGAGGCGAAGGCGGCUUACUGGACUGUAACUGACGUUGAGGCUCGAAAGCGUGGGGAGCAAACAGGAUUAGAUACCCUGGUA
rnacentral:rRNA from 1 species